GUUGUCAGAACACGAGGUUGAACAGUAUUUUAUAACAAACCGCAGACGAAGCCGAAGGGCCUUCAUCCGAAACGUCGAUUUUUAAGCUACUUCAGACACAAACCACGGCAGCUUUACCAGCUUAAGCUUUAUACUUAUACAAAUACUAAGUACAACUUACUUGUAUCGGGAUGCUUGUGUAUGACAGACCAUCCAGGCUGGUUAAAACUUUAAAAUACAUUAUCAGUCUUCGUACACAAUUAGUUCAAUUUGCUUCUGUAUUGACUUGUAGUUCGUUAAUAACAGCCAGUUGCUGCUCAGUCUUUAGACGGUUGCUUGUAAAUUUUGCCAAGGACAUAUUACAGUGAAUCUUGUAUCAAAUCUACCCCAGUUUUGGUGAGAAAACUCAGAAAUUCUGUUCAAAUCACUGGUUCAAAAAUAUUCAAAAUUACCGCCAUGGCGGCCAUGGGGCAAUCAAUUACCAAAUCAACCUCGUUCCCAGAGAAAGAUCCUGGGUACGAGGUUGUUACCAAAUCAGGUGACAAAAAUUACCAAACACACGAAAAAU